GUCCCAGGGACCCUGCGUCCAGGUGGGCCCAGGUCCUGAGCUUCCUCCCCUCCAUCCACACAGUCGCCGGCCAGGCCAACGCCCCAGAGAGAACAACGGGGCCAUUUGUGUGUGACGAGGGUGUACCCCUUUCUUAGGGCCACUGCAACAGAUGACCAGACACUCGGGUGGCUUGAAACAGCCGAAGUUCACUGUCUCACAGUUUUGGAGGCCAAAAUCCAACACCACGGUGCUAACAGGGCCGCACUCUGUGCAGAAUCUCUAGGGGGGCGUCCUUCCCCGCCCCCUCCAGCUUCUGGUGGCUUCUGGUGUUCCUGGGCUUGGUUGGUGUCACGGCAGCAUCUGCCUCCGUCCUUACAGGGCUUCUUCCUGGGGUCUCUGGCUUCUUUCAGCCUCUCAGAAGACCCUUCAUUGGAUUUAGGGUUCACUCUAAUCCAGGGGGGCCUCAUCUUGAGAUUCUUACCUUAAUCACCUCGGCAUCGACCCUUCCCCUGGUGAGGUCACCUCCACAGGUGCCAGGGUUGGACUCAGAGGAGUCACUACUGGACUCACGACAGGGAGUCAGCAUUCCCCCAUGGACAGCAGGCCCAGGCCUCAGGGGCCAGCGAGCCCGUGAUGGAGGUCCUCCUGAAGGCUCAGCUGAUUCCGCUCCUUGUCACCACCAUAGGCUCUGAAAGCAAACCCUCUGGAGGCCCAAACUCCGGUCAUUCCCUCGGCUUUCCUGAUGUUUCCACAGCCACAGGCCCUUGGUCACCGUUGCUCUCCACUGAACGUCUUCUCCAGAUGGGUUUAUUUGUACAGCCUCAUCCUGCACAGUAAUGUCCACCAGAUCAGGGGUUUGAGGGGUCCCUCCUCGUUUCUCCGGCACACACUGAAGGGAGUGGAGCAUGCCCAUUUGAUCUGCCUCUCUGUCGGGUGACGCUCGGCCCUGAGCAUUGAAUCCUCGUGUUCACCCUCGUGUCUACCCUCCGGGGAAGGAACUGCUGAUUUCAUCCCCACUUCACAGUUGAGAAAACAGAGGUCCAGAAAGGGGGGGUGACUAGAGCCAGGAGCAGGGAGGAAAUGGGAAGCCAGAGAAGAG
rnacentral:lncRNA from 1 species